rnacentral:rRNA from 1 species
AUCCGGAAACGGGGUGCUAAUAACCGCAUAGUUUUCUUGAUCGCAUGAUCGGGAAAGGAAAGACGGCCUUUGUGCUGUCGCUUAUGGAUGGACCCGCGGCGUAUUAGUUAGUUGGUGAGGUAACGGCUCACCAAGACGAUGAUACGUAGCCGACCUGAGAGGGUGAUCGGCCACAUUGGGACUGAGACACGGCCCAAACUCCUACGGGAGGCAGCAGUAGGGAAUCUUCCGCAAUGGACGAAAGUCUGACGGAGCAACGCCGCGUGAGUGAAAAGGAAGGUUUUCGGAUCGUAAAACUCUGUUGUCAGAGAAGAACAAGUUGGAGAGUAACUGCUCCAGCCUUGACGGUAUCUGACCAGAAAGCCACGGCUAACUACGUGCCAGCCGCCGC